rnacentral:lncRNA from 1 species
CCUACUCCCCCCAACGUGGGGGUCUCUGGAGGCGUCCUCAGUUACAUUGUUCAGGACCUCAUGGAGACGGACCUGUACAAGCUGCUAAAGAGCCAGCAGCUGAGCAAUGACCACAUCUGCUACUUCCUCUACCAGAUCCUCCGGGGCCUCAAGUACAUACACUCGGCCAAUGUGCUGCACCGGGACCUGAAGCCCUCCAAUCUGCUUAUCAACACCACCUGCGACCUUAAGAUCUGUGAUUUUGGCCUUGCCCGGAUUGCUGACCCUGAGCACGACCACACUGGCUUUCUUACCGAGUAUGUGGCCACACGCUGGUACCGAGCCCCAGAGAUCAUGCUUAACUCCAAGGGCUACACCAAAUCCAUUGACAUCUGGUCUGUGGGCUGCAUUCUGGCUGAGAUGCUCUCCAACCGGCCUAUCUUCCCCGGCAAGCACUACCUGGACCAGCUCAACCACAUUCUAGGUAUACUGGGUUCCCCAUCCCAAGAGGACCUAAAUUGUAUCAUUAACAUGAAGGCCCGAAACUACCUACAGUCUCUGCCCUCUAAAACCAAGGUGGCUUGGGCCAAGCUUUUUCCCAAAUCUGACUCCAAAGCUCUUGACCUGCUGGACCGGAUGUUAACCUUUAACCCAAACAAGCGCAUCACAGUAGAGGAAGCACUGGCUCACCCUUACCUGGAACAGUACUAUGAUCCGACAG